AUUGAACGCUGGCGGCAGGCCUAACACAUGCAAGUCGAACGAGUGGCGGACGGGUGAGUAAUGUCUGGGAAACUGCCUGAUGGAGGGGGAUAACUACUGGAAACGGUAUCUAAUACCGCAUACCAUCGGAUGUGCCCAGAUGGGAUUAGCUAGUAUGUUGGGUAAAGGCUCACCUAGGCGACGAUCCCUAGCUGGUCUGAGAGUAUGACCAGCCACCUGGGAACUGAGACACGGUCCAGACUGCUACGUGAGGCAGCGGUGGGGAAUAUUGCACAAUGGGCGCAAGUCUGAUGCAGCCAGGCCGAGUGUAUGAAGAAGGACUUCGGGUUGUAAAGUACUUUCAGCGGGGAGGCGUUACCCGCAGAAGAAGCACCGGCUAACUCCGUGCCAGCCGCCGCGGUAAUAC
rnacentral:rRNA from 1 species